GACGAACGCUGGCGGCGUGCCUAAUACAUGCAAGUCGAACGAACCGCGACUAAGUGCUUGCACUAAGUCAAGGUGAGUGGCGAACGGGUGAGUAACACGUGGGUAACCUACCUCAUAGUGGGGGAUAACAGUCGGAAACGACUGCUAAUACCGCAUAGGACAUAGGAUCACAUGAUCCAGUGAGGAAAGGUGGCACAAGCUAUCGCUAAGAGAUGGACCCGCGGUGCAUUAGCUAGUUGGUAGGGUAAAGGCCUACCAAGGCGAUGAUGCAUAGCCGACCUGAGAGGGUGAUCGGCCACAUUGGGACUGAGACACGGCCCAAACUCCUACGGGAGGCAGCAGUAGGGAAUCUUCCGCAAUGGACGCAAGUCUGACGGAGCAACGCCGCGUGAGUGAAGAAGGUCUUCGGAUCGUAAAGCUCUGUUGUUAGAGAAGAACAGCGCAUAGAGUAACUGCUAUGCGUGUGACGGUAUCUAACCAGAAAGCCACGGCUAACUACGUG
rnacentral:rRNA from 1 species